GAUGAACGCUAGCUACAGGCUUAACACAUGCAAGUCGAAGGGAAACGGCAUUUAGUGCUUGCACUGAAUGGACGUCGACCGGCGCACGGGUGAGUAACGCGUAUCCAACCUACCCAUUACUGUGGGAUAACCUGCUGAAAGGCAGACUAAUACCGCAUAGUCUUCGAUGACGGCAUCAGAUUUGAAGUAAAGAUUUAUCGGUAAUGGAUGGGGAUGCGUCUGAUUAGCUUGUUGGCGGGGUAACGGCCCACCAAGGCGACGAUCAGUAGGGGUUCUGAGAGGAAGGUCCCCCACAUUGGAACUGAGACACGGUCCAAACUCCUACGGGAGGCAGCAGUGAGGAAUAUUGGUCAAUGGGCGGGAGCCUGAACCAGCCAAGUAGCGUGCAGGAUGACGGCCCUAUGGGUUGUAAACUGCUUUUGUAUGGGGAUAAAGUCAAUCACGUGUGAUUGUUUGCAGGUACCAUACGAAUAAGGACCGGCUAAUUCCGUGCCAGCAGCCGCGGUAAUACGGAAGGUCCGGGCGUUAUCCGGAUUUAUUGGGUUUAAAGGGAGCGUAGGCCGGAGAUUAAGUGUGUUGUGAAAUGUAGACGCUCAACGUCUGACUUGCAGCGCAUACUGGUUUCCUUGAGUACGCACAACGUUGGCGGAAUUCGUCGUGUAGCGGUGAAAUGCUUAGAUAUGACGAAGAACUCCGAUUGCGAAGGCAGCUGACGGGAGCGCAACUGACGCUUAAGCUCGAAGGUGCGGGUAUCGAACAGG
rnacentral:rRNA from 1 species